UUCGCGAUAGUAUAGUGGUGAGCAUCUCCUCCUGCCACGUGGAAGAUCCGGGUUCAAUUACCGGUCGCGGAG
rnacentral:tRNA from 1 species